UGAAGUUAGCGGCGGACGGGUGAGUAACACGUGGGUAACCUACCUAUAAGACUGGGAUAACUUCGGGAAACCGGAGCUAAUACCGGAUAACAUUUAGAACCGCAUGGUUCUAAAGUGAAAGAUGGUUUUGCUAUCACUUAUAGAUGGACCCGCGCCGUAUUAGCUAGUUGGUAAGGUAACGGCUUACCAAGGCGACGAUACGUAGCCGACCUGAGAGGGUGAUCGGCCACACUGGAACUGAGACACGGUCCAGACUCCUACGGGAGGCAGCAGUAGGGAAUCUUCCGCAAUGGGCGAAAGCCUGACGGAGCAACGCCGCGUGAGUGAUGAAGGGUUUCGGCUCGUAAAACUCUGUUAUUAGGGAAGAACAAAUGUGUAAGUAACUGUGCACAUCUUGACGGUACCUAAUCAGAAAGCCACGGCUAACUACGUGCCAGCAGCCGCGGUAAUACGUAGGUGGCAAGCGUUAUCCGGAAUUAUUGGGCGUAAAGCGCGCGUAGGCGGUUUCUUAAGUCUGAUGUGAAAGCCCACGGCUCAACCGUGGAGGGUCAUUGGAAACUGGGAAACUUGAGUGCAGAAGAGGAAAGUGGAAUUCCAUGUGUAGCGGUGAAAUGCGCAGAGAUAUGGAGGAACACCAGUGGCGAAGGCGACUUUCUGGUCUGUAACUGACGCUGAUGUGCGAAAAGCGUGGGGAUCAAACAGGA
rnacentral:rRNA from 1 species